rnacentral:misc_RNA from 1 species
UUGAAAUAAACCUGAUGGGUUGUUGCUGGUUCUCUAGGGAGCAUGUGCACACUUGUCAUCUUUAUAUCUCCACCUGUGCACCUUUUGUAGACCUUACAGGUCUAUGUUGCCUAUUCAUUUACACCAAUGUAUGUUAAUAGAAUGUUGUGACUAUAAAAUCUAUA